rnacentral:snRNA from 1 species
AUACCUUUCUCGGCCUUUUGGCUAAGAUCAAGUGUAGUAUCUGUUCUUAUCAGUUUAAUAUUUGAUAUGUGAGUCAUUGACUCAAACGAUAUUAACUCUAUUUCUUAAGGGGAAAGUCCACUAAGGUAGCUUGCUAACUGGGCUCUCAAGCGUCGUUUAUGCAUUGCACUACUGCAAAGGCCUGGCGUACCCCAC